AAUGGAUAUGAGCAGGGAAAGUUAUCGAAGAACUAAGUGAAAAUUUAAGAAUUGUUUGAAUACUUUAACCAGCAGUUAUCCAGAAAAGAAAACAUUCACUUUUAGAUGAUUUACAAUCAUAAAUUGGAGCAAAAAGCAGCACCCAAACCGCGAGGCUGUAGCUACUAGUUUUAUAGUCUUCAAUAGAAGUAAAGUUAUGGAUUCGCAAAUACCUUUAUUGAAGGAAGCAAGUAUGCAAAUCAGCAAAGUUUAAGCUGGCAUACCGGAAUUGAUAAUGGUGUAUGUUCUCAUGAAGUUGAAAAGCAGAAACGUGCACGGAAUCUGUAUCUGUUGUUUUCCAACUAUCAAGUUCCGUUUUCUGCUUCCUGUGCCGUUUUUUUAUGGCCAAAGGGAAUAUUUUGUGCCGCAUGGGAAAUGAAUGGGAAAAUACAUGCCAAUUUACGAACAAAUAGAAAGCCGCGAAAAUCGAGAGCGCUUUGUUACGUUCCGGCUACCUUGUGACAUUCAUAGUAAAUAAACGAUAUUGUUUGUUUA